rnacentral:lncRNA from 1 species
UUCUAGUAGCUAUACAGGAAGUGAUAGUAAGAGAACUCCUUUUAAGAAAAUAAUUUUCCUUCCUUUCUAAUCAUCAAAUUUCGUUACUUUUUGCCCAAAUAAAAAAGACUUUAUGGAAAACUAUAACUAUUUAACACACACAUUAAAUUCUCAUUUUCAGGACAUAUUAAAAAUGAGCCAGUGGCACAUGUCUGCAAUCCCAACACUUGGGAGGCUGAAGCAGGAGGAUCACCGUGAGUUUGAGGCCAGCCUGAACUACACAGCAAGCCCUUGUCUCAAAAAAAAACCUCAAAUAGAUAGACAGACAGACAGACAGAUAGAUGGAUGACAUAUUCUGACAAAGUCUUGCUGUGUAGUCCAGGCUGGUAUUGAGCUGAACCUUUUGGCUUGUCAAAUUAAUCAAAAGGAAGGACCACGCAUGCUGCAGGGGAUGGAAAGGGACUGGAAAAUCAUAAACUGGGCUUUGGGCUCUCACUACACAGGCAAAGAGCUGAGCUUAUAAUGAUGCCAUGCCCUUGAAUCUCCACAUGUGUAAACUAAGUGAGCCUCUCUUUGAGUUACCCAGCCUCAAAUGUAUAGCAAUGGAAAAUGGAUUUAUACAGUUUGCUGAAAGAAGAGUGUGGCAAAUCUGGUUCAAAUACAUUACUGCGGGUCCUUUCCAAAGUCUUUUUCCCAACAUCUAUGAAAUAUGAAUAUUGACUGUCUCCUGGGUGACUUGUGUGGAGAGAGUCUCUUUCAGCCAUACCUCUGAGACCUACGGCCAUUGCUAACCCUAGACUGAUGAAGUGAUUUACUACCAUUACCCUUAGAAAGCACCUCUUGUUUUUUCACAUCCACAACAGGAAAUACUUCUGGGUUGGUCUCAUUUAUAACAGCUGGUCAGCAUAAUGUUCUCGAAGAAGCUCGUGUUUCUCAAAGAUUACUGAAACUGUGUCAUUCUCUCAUAACUGAAUAAGUUUUUUGACUCUGCCAAGAGUAUUGAAUUGAUUAAAGUGAUUAGGUGCUUUCUCAUUAUCAUCUAUCUUUAGCUUUCUUUUAGCAGUGAUUGAUCUACACUUUGCAAUUGAAAGUUCAAUGUUUUCUGUGUAGAAGGAAGAAGGAAU